UCCCUGGGUUGAAUCGAUGUGAACAUGAAGCAGGUAAAGAGAAGUACGUGGGCACUCGCUAGAGGAGUAAGGCAUUUUACACUUCAUUAUCUCAAGCAUCCUGCUUGGCUUUGCUGCCUCAGAAGCUCUGCCAAGCCUUUCACUUUCUGAAUUCCCCUUACACCCAGCCUGUGAAUGCAGAGGAAGCUUUUUCGUGCUUAAGCAGUAUGACUGCCCUCAGGACUCAGUCCCAUUUGUUAGAAAUGAAUUCUGCCAACAGUCAUCUGUGCCUGGAAGAAGGCUCAACCCUCGGAUGAGACUGCAGCCCAGGCUGACAUCCUGUGAGACUGAGCUGAAGACCCACUGGAGCCAGGCCUCCAUGAUGGAAACUGUGAGAUGAUAAAUGUACUUUAUUUUUUGGUUUAAGCUGACACAUUUGUGGUGAUACGUAGAAAACUAAUACAAUAGGCAAAAGAUAUGCAUAUACAUCACAAAAGAAGAUCUAUCAAAGUAGUCAAUAAGUACAUGAAAAGAUGUUCAAUGUCAUUAGUCAUUUGGGGAAAUGCAAAUUAAAACAAAUGGGAACAUAUUUCCACGCAAAACACAAGAUAGCAUGGCUGAAGUUAGAGGGGAACCCUAAUAAGACCAAGUGCACCAUCUGGAAUUCUCAUAAACUUGCUAUUGAAAUGUAAAAUGGUACCACUGCUUUGGAAAACAGCUUGGGAGUUUCUAUAAAGCAUACAUUAUCAUAUGGCCCAGCUAUUCUACUUGUAGUUAUUCAAGAAAAAUGAUAACAUGUGUCCACAUAAAGACUUGUAUGCAAAUGUUCACUGCACUUUUUCAUAAUAGCUAUGAAGUAGAAACAAUCUAAUUGUACCCAACUGCCCAUAGGCAAAUGAAUAAAUUGUGCUGUAUCCAUACAAGAGAAUACUACUCAGCCAUGGUAAACAUUUUUGGGGGUGAUGGGAAUGUUCUAUAUUAUGAUAGUGGUGGUGGUGAUUAUAUGGAUGUAUACAUUUGUCAAAACUUGUCUAAAAUUACACUUAAAAUGGGUGCUUUUUAUACCUAAAUGAUGUCUUAACUGAGUUGAUUUUUAAAAGGUCACUUUCCCAGUGUGAUUUUAUUUGCUCAAAAAUGAUCCCACAGAGAGAGAGAAAAACGAAUGAUGCAGGUGGACAGAGGUCAAUUGCAGGAGGGAUGUCCUUGAAUAGGAAGCAGGGUGAGAUCCAGGGCUUGAAUGGGGUAGUUGGAUGUUAACAAAACCAGGGGUCGUGUAUGUGUUUUUUCAGUUAAGCAGGAAGCAGAGAGUUAGGAGAGGGUGAGUUUUCUGU